rnacentral:miRNA from 1 species
UCUCUCUCUCUCUCUCUCUCUCUCUCUCUCUGUGUGUGUGUGUGUGUGUGUGUGAGAGAGAGAGAGAGAGAGAGAGAGAGAGA